UACGGAGGGUCCGAGCGUUAAUCGGAAUUACUGGGCGUAAAGCGCACGCAGGCGGUUUGUUAAGCUAGAUGUGAAAGCCCCGGGCUCAACCUGGGAGGGUCAUUUAGAACUGGCAGACUAGAGUUUUGGAGAGGGGAGUGGAAUUCCAGGUGUAGCGGUGAAAUGCGUAGAUAUCUGGAGGAACAUCAGUGGCGAAGGCGGCACCCUGGACUCAUACUGACACUGAGGUGCGAAAGCGUGGGGAGCAAACAGG
rnacentral:rRNA from 1 species